CUCUUGAGAGCGGCGGACGGGUGAGUAAUGCCUAGGAAUCUGCCUGGUAGUGGGGGAUAACGCUCGGAAACGGACGCUAAUACCGCAUACGUCCUACGGGAGAAAGCAGGGGACCUUCGGGCCUUGCGCUAUCAGAUGAGCCUAGGUCGGAUUAGCUAGUUGGUGAGGUAAUGGCUCACCAAGGCGACGAUCCGUAACUGGUCUGAGAGGAUGAUCAGUCACACUGGAACUGAGACACGGUCCAGACUCCUACGGGAGGCAGCAGUGGGGAAUAUUGGACAAUGGGCGAAAGCCUGAUCCAGCCAUGCCGCGUGUGUGAAGAAGGUCUUCGGAUUGUAAAGCACUUUAAGUUGGGAGGAAGGGUUGUAGAUUAAUACUCUGCAAUUUUGACGUUACCGACAGAAUAAGCACCGGCUAACUCUGUGCCAGCAGCCGCGGUAAUACAGAGGGUGCAAGCGUUAAUCGGAAUUACUGGGCGUAAAGCGCGCGUAGGUGGUUCGUUAAGUUGGAUGUGAAAGCCCCGGGCUCAACCUGGGAACUGCAUUCAAAACUGUCGAGCUAGAGUAUGGUAGAGGGUGGUGGAAUUUCC
rnacentral:rRNA from 1 species